rnacentral:lncRNA from 1 species
AUGGGGCUGGAAAAAAACACCCAAAGCCCCACACAAACACACAACCAGCCCCAGUGGACAGCUAUGGGGCUGGGGGAAAAGCACAACCCCCACACACACAGCCAACCCCUGCAGAAUGCUGUGGGGCUGGAAAAAAAACACAACCCCAUACACACAGCCGGUCCCAGCGGAAGGCCAUGGGGCUAUAAAAAGAAGACAACCCUCCCCAACACAGCCAGCCCCAGUGGAACGCUGUGGGGCUGGAGAAGAAACACAAACCCCCCCACAGACAGCCAAUCCCAGCGGAAGGCCAUGGGGCUUCGGAAAAAAAGACAACACCCCCCCAGACACAGUCGGUCCCAGCGGAAGGCCAUGUGGCUACGAAAAGCAGAACGCUAUGGGGCUGGGAAAAAACACAAACCCACACACACACAGCCGGUCCCAGCGGAACACAAUGGGGCUGGGGAAAAACGCAACCCCACACACACACAGCCAGUCCCCGUGGAAGGCCAUGGGGCUACAAAAAAAGACCACCCCCCUCACAGGCAGCCCCAGUGGAACGCUAUGGGGCUGGGGAAAAACACAAAUCCUCCCACAGACAGCCAGUCCCAGCGGAAGGCCAUGGGGCUACGGGAAAAAAACCACAACCCCCCCACAGCCUGCCCCAGCGGAACUCUAUGGGGCUGGGAAAAACACACCCACACACAGCCAUUCCCAGUGGAAGGCCAUGAGGCUACGGGAAAAAAAGACAACCCCCACACACAGCCAGCCCUAGCAGAACGCUGCGGGGCUGGAAAAAAGUCAACCCACACACAGCCAGCCCCAGCGGAACGCUAUGGGGCUGGGGAAAAAACAAUCUCUCACACACAUAGUCAGUCCCAGCAGAAGGCCGUGGGGCUACGGAAAAAAAAAGACAAACCCCUCCACACACAGCCUGCCCCAGCGGAUUGCCAUGGGGCUGGGGGGGGGGAAUACAAAAUACCUCCCAACACAGACAGCCAGCCCAAAUGUGAUGCGACUGGGAGAAAAAAAACCCGAAAACACAAAAGACCUGACAGCACAGGAACAUAA